rnacentral:rRNA from 1 species
UACGUAGGCAGCAAGCGUUGUUCGGAGUUACUGGGCGUAAAGGGUGUGUAGGCGGUUCUUUAAGUUUGGUGUGAAAUCUCCCGGCUCAACCGGGAGGGUGCGUCGAAUACUGAGGGACUAGAGUACGGGAGAGGAAAGUGGAAUUCCUGGUGUAGCGGUGAAAUGCGUAGAUAUCAGGAGGAACACCGGUGGUGUAGACGGCUUUCUGGACCGUAACUGACGCUGAGACACGAAAGCGUGGGUAGCAAACAGG